rfam:Rattus norvegicus chromosome 4, whole genome shotgun sequence.
GGGGAUUUAGCUCAGUGGUAGAGUGCUUGCCUAGCAAGCACAAGGCCCUGGGUUCGGUCCCCAGCUCA